rnacentral:tRNA from 1 species
GCCGGAGUGGCGGAAUUGGCAGACGCGCUGGAUUCAAAAUCCAGUGGCCGCAAGGUCGUGUGGGUUCGAGUCCCACCUCCGGUA